AAAUAAUUAAGCUAGCAUCCAAACCAAACCGAACUACAUGCGCUUUCCACCCAGACCAAUCCAAACCAUAUGCCAUUUAUGGAUUCAACCCAUAGUUUCAAUCCAUGGACAAUGAAUAAGAGUAGCAAACCAGUUUUACUAGGAAAAGGAUAGCUUGCUGACUAGCUAAAUAGCCGUUGGAUGUUACAGUAUGGGGUCUAGAAUUAUUACACAGAAUGGAUGUGACAAUGGAAUUUUACAUAGUUGCUGAAUGUUAACUCAGUUACAGAAUGAAUUUUACAUAGUUGCUGGACUUGAUCUCCCUUUUCUGAAUGGUUUCUUCUACCCUGGCUUUCUUCUUGAUACCUGAGUAUAUUAACAAGUACAUCAGAAUGAUAUUCAAGUUGUCACUGUGAUCAAUUAUGUGCAUAGCAAUCACCGCACUUUAACACGACCAUAUCUCACUAGCAGAACACAUAUUUCUUCAAUUCAAAAAAUCUGCAGGCUUAGAAGAAUAUCACUUCUAUGGUUGCUACGCUCUGUUUUUAUAUUCACAUGGAAUAUCUGACUACACGCCGCAUCCUCUCGGCAACAUGAUGAAGAUUUAGACCGGAACAUUAGAAUUACAAACAUAAUAAAAGGUUCAUAACAAUGUGACCCGUCAAUUAAGAAUAGUAUGUAACAACUUAAACAGUUGUAUGCCCCCAAUAAUAACAGCUGCACAGAAAAUUAAAACAUGUCCGAUAUAAUUUUCCUCUUAAAACAACAAAUGUGUUCUUCACUAAACCUGAAUGCUCCAUGUAAAAAAUUUGACUGAACCUGAACCUAAAAUGUGCAUAGGUACUUCACAGGAGCAUCAUAAUUGGACCUAAAAUGCAAAGAAAAAGAAAUUUCUUUCUUAAUCACUCUGAAAACUAGGCUCAAUUCUUCACUGAACCUGAACGCUCUAUGUCACUGUGUUUCUUUCAGGACAAAGAAUCACUUACCCUCAGCUAGGGACUAUGAUGUAUGCUCUCCCUCUUGUUCCUUUGCUACACCACUCACAUCCUACCGCAGCUCCAUACUUUCAGGACAAGCGGUCACCGGUGGCGGCCUCUUGAUCGGCGGCGUCCCACCCUCAACUGCAGAGACGGGUGGGGUUUAGAGACAGAGAGAGAGGAGAGAGAGGGGGGGGGGGUUGAGAAGGCUGGUGAUGCACUGACCUGCCGAGCUCCAACCAGUGGCAAUGGCAGCGGCGAUCCCUAACCGUAGAGUCAUAGCGGUGACCGGCGGCCAAGCUCCAGCCAGGGAGGGGAAGACGGCGAUCCACUGCACCUGGACGGAUGGGUGUCAGAUGGAUGGGAAGGCCGCGACCAAGCUCCAGUCGGGCGGCGGGCGGCGGCGGAAGAUCCCGGUUUGGCGGCGGUGGCCGGCAGGCGGUGGAGGCGCUCCUCGCUAGGUCAGGCUGCGUGUGUCGAUUUGGUCGUCGAUCCGGUUUCAG
rnacentral:lncRNA from 1 species